UGAAUAUAUUUUUAUAAUACAUUUAUUUGACUAUAUAAAUAUUGUUAAUGUAUUUUUUGAGAUUACACAGUACAACGCAGACACUCAACACGCACGUACACUCACCCCUAUGAACACACGUACGCAAACCCUACCCCUAUGAGCACCUUCGAAGGACUGAGCCGGCAAAUCUUGAAGUUCACGAAGUCAACGCAGACACUCAACACGCACGUACACUCACCCCUAUGAACACACGUACGCAAACCCUACCCCUAUGAGCACCUUCGAAGGACUGAGCCGGCAAAUCUUGAAGUUCACGAAGUCACCACAGGCGCCUCGCUGUCGACGGGCACGUCGCCUACCACUUAAUGCAUAGCGCCGGAAAAUCCUGGAAUAAAUCCAGAAUAAAGUGCCGCACCCAGAAUUUGAACCCUGGGUGGGAGCCCCCCAACCAAUGGACUUUGCCAUUGCGCCGUGAACCCCU
rnacentral:lncRNA from 1 species